rnacentral:misc_RNA from 1 species
GAUGAGAACGUAGUGAAAUGCGAUACGUAAUGUGAAUUGCAGAAUUCAGUGAAUCAUCGAGUCUUUGAACGCACAUUGCGCCCCCUGGUAUUCCGGGGGGCAUGCCUGUCCGAGCGUCAUUGCUGCCCUCAAGCACGGCUUGUGUGUUGGGCCUCCGUCCUCCUCCCGGGGGACGGGCCCGAAAGGCAGCGGCGGCACCGCGUCCGGUCCUCGAGCGUAUGGGGCUUCGUCACCCGCUCUUGUAGGCCCGGCCGGCGCUUGCCGACACAUCAAUCUUUUUUCCAGGUUGACCUCGGAUCAGGUAGGGAUACCCGCUGAACUUAAGCAUAUCAAUAAGCGGAGGA